rnacentral:rRNA from 1 species
UCCUGGCUCAGGAUGAACGCUAGCUACAGGCUUAACACAUGCAAGUCAGGGGCAGCAUAUCGAAGCUUGCUUUGAUGAUGGCGACGGCGCACGGGUGAGUAACGCGUAUCCAACCUUCCCUAUACUAGAGGAUAGCCCGGCGAAAGUCGGAUUAAUACUCUAUGUUCUUCGUAGAAGACAUCUGAAAUGAAGCAAAGGUUUACCGGUAUAGGAUGGGGAUGCGUCUGAUUAGGUUGUUGGCGGGGUAACGGCCCACCAAGCCCACGAUUAGUAGGGGUUCUGAGAGGAAGGUCCCCCACAUUGGAACUGAGACACGGUCCAAACUCCUACGGGAGGCAGCAGUGAGGAAUAUUGGUCAAUGGACGAGAGUCUGAACCAGCCAAGUAGCGUGCCAGGAUGACGGCCCUAUGGGUUGUAAACUGCUUUUAUACAGGGAUAAAGUGACGUACGUGUACGUUUUUGUAGGUACUGUAUGAAUAAGGACCGGCUAAUUCCGUGCCAGCAGCAGC